rnacentral:rRNA from 1 species
ACGGAGGGUGCGAGCGUUAAUCGGAAUUACUGGGCGUAAAGCGUACGCAGGCGGUUCGCUAAGCGAGAUGUGAAAGCCCCGGGCUUAACCUGGGAAAGGCGCUUGUGACUGGCAGGCUAGAGUGUGGUAGAGGGGGGUGGAAUUUCAGGUGUAGCAGUGAAAUGCGUAGAGAUGUGAAGGAAUACCGAUGGCGAAGGCAGCCACCUGGGUCAACACUGACGCUCAUGUACGAAAGCGUGGGGAGCAAACGG